ACUCCAGGACCGGGAUAGGGGACCACGGAGGUGGUUCCUGGGCUACAGGGCCCACGACAGCUGGCUGAGCCCCGCGCUGGAGACCCGGACUGCGGGUAAAGCCGAAGACACCUGGCCGGGCCUGGCGAGCUCACAAGAUAGAGAAGGAGGAAUGGCAUGCUCCACCGUUCACUUACUCAAAAAAACCCAUCUUUCUAUGCACCAGGCGCUGAGGGUACAGUCUCAAAUUUCUGCCCUGGAAAGGGCUUCUGGUGGAAAUGGCCCCUGAGUUGGGUAUUGGAAGAUACAUGAGAGGGAGUCAGCUCGGUGAAGAAGGGAAUUUGAACAUUCCCUGCAAAUGGAGCAUCCCAGGCAAAGUCCUGGAGGUCAGAAUGUGAAUGGCCAACCUGUAGAACUGGAAACUUGCCCAGCGUCUAUAACAAAAGAAGCCCCAGAACUGGACCACAGCAGCCACUAGGUGGAUGAAGAAGCCCAUGAGACCAGCUAUGAGCCAAGUGGCCCUGAAAAAACUAAGCAUUGUGGCAGGUCCCUGGGAUCUACCUUCUAGUGUCUGAAGUGACGUCCCUUGGAGGCCAAGUGUGAAAGCCAGUGGUACUCUAUAAACAUGAGGUUACAUUCCUAAAUAUCCAACAACAUACUGAGGCCAAACCCUCUGGCAAAUGAAUGGAGGCUGGAAAAGGAGUGGGUGAAGGUAUUUGAGAGCAGGGCUGUAACAAUACCUAACGUGGUAGUUCAUGAGGCACCAGGCUCUGCAGUAAGCCUUCACAUGAUUGAUCUCAUUUCAUCUUCACAACAGUCCUAUUUGCAGAUGAAAACACAAAAGCUGCAAGGGAACUUCAGGGGUUACAGGAUGUGCCCGUGUUAGAAGGGGACAGUCUGGCUGCCCACACUGUAUCACAUGGCAGAAGAGAGACUGUCACUCCAGGUUUGCUUGCAGCAAAUAGCAAGCAUGGCCUGUGCCAAGGCCACUGCAAGAUUGGGGAUGGGAACUCAGGAGAAGGAGGAAGACAAGGAGUCAGCAUAAAGACUUGUGAAAAGAGAAGCCCAAUGAAAGGAGUCUACAGCCAAAGCGGUGACAGUAGACUCUUAAGUGAAUGGGUCCCAUGAUCUUAAGGCAAUGUCCUGGGCAUUAAAGACUCAUGGGAGCCAAGUUCAUUGAAAAACUGAGGCCCCUGAACAAAACCUCAGUGAGGCUGAGAGAGGCUCAGAGAAUUGUGCCUGCCAGUGGCCAGUCUGUUACUGGUGCAGGGAAGAUGGGCAGGAGGGAGAGGCCAUCUCUAGUCACCAGAAGGACACCCUCCACUACCUUUAGCCCAUAGAGAGCUCAGAAUAGAGCUUGAGGGUGACUAUCUCAGGCCUUCAAGAGGCAACAUUCAGCCCAAACAACAUCUAGCUGUCCUGCCCCAGUGGGAGGUUUAGGUGGACCCCACAGCGUGGGAGCAUGACUGAAAGGAAGACUAGAUUUGGGGCCACUGUGGAAAGCAGUUGCAGUUUCCUCAUUCUCAAGGACCUCUUUAAUCACUAUCAGACUCUUCCCCUUCAGACUGCCAGGAUAGAUGGGUCCUCUGAGGUUUUGGGACUGGUAUUCAUCCAUUCCCAUGGAAUUGCUAGGGUUGCUUGAAUCCUAUAAAGCAACAGAAAUAGUAGCUGGGAUUAUAUCAAAUUUUCAAGCCUUAUUAAAUGACAGGUGCCCAAAUUCAUUGCCAGAAGGCCCAGACUACAAGAAAGGCUAAUGAAAUUCUUUAAGCUGAAGGAAAAUGACAUCAGAUGGAAGCUUGGGUCUAUAGGAAGGAAUAAAGAAUACUGGAAAAGGCAACUGUACAUAAAAGACUUUUUUCUCUCAAUUUCUUUAAAGACAAAUUACUAUUUAAAUAAAAAACAAUAACAAUAUGUUGUUUUAUCAUGAAGUAGAGGAAGAUCACAAUGGAAUUACAGUGUUGUAAGGUUCUUACAUUAUACAUGAAGAGGGCAAAACAUGUAAGUUAAAUAUUGUAAUCCUUAGAGUAACUACCAAAAAAAAAGGUACUUCUAAAAACCCAAUAGAGGAGAUAAUAUGGGAUAUUAAAAUAUUCUCAGUCCAAAUAGAGGAUGCAAAUAAAGGACACAAGUACAGAUAGAAAAAAUAGCAAGAUGAUAGACUUAAAUAACUAUGUCAAGAAUUACAUUAAUUGUAAAUGAUUAAAUAUUUUAAUUAAAGGCAGAGAUUGUCAGAACGCAUAAAAACGUAAUAUCCAAAGGUAUGCUAUCUACGAAAACUCACUUAAAAUAUAAAGACACAGACUAGUUAAAAGGAUGGAAGAGAUAUAAGAAAUUAGAAAUCUGAAAUGGUUAUAUUCAUAUCAGACUAAGUAAAUUUAAGGCAAAAAAUAUUGCCAGAGAUAAAGAGGAUCCUUAUGUAAUUAUAAAAGAGUCAAUUAAUCAUCAAGUGCUAACAAUUCUAAGUUGGGUAUUCUCCUCAUCACACAGCUUCAAAAUAUAUAAAGCAAAGAUGCACAGAACUAAAUGGAUAAAUAACUCCAAAAUUAUAAAUGGAAAUUUUAACAUCCCUAUCUCUGUAACUGCCAGAAGAUAUGGAAGAUCUAAACACAAGUCAUCAACCAACUUGACUUAAUUGAUAUUUAUAGAAUGUGCCACCCAAUAACUGCAAAAUGAAUUAUCGGUGCCCUUUGCAAGACACAGAAGGAUGAUAACAUUUUUUUGUCUUUAAAAAUGACCCUCAAAGUAAAUUACAGUAUAAAUAUAUACCGUGGCAUAUAACUCAGCAAUAAAAAGAAAUGAAUCAUUGAUACUAUGACUUGGCUGAAUCUUC